CGCUUGACGGCCCCCGGCCGCGUCGCGACCCCGUGGGACGCCGCACCGGUCGGUCCGGCCCUCGCGUCGCAGGCAGCCGUGACGCCUCUGCUCUGCUCUGAGGACAACAGCACGAGUCGCCGUCUCGGAAUAGUAGUCAGUCAACCCUCAUGUGCAGGUGAGUGUUCUGCUGUCGCAGCUGUAGCUCGGUCUUAAUUUAAAGCAUCUAGAUUGACCCUAGCACAACCUGAUACUAGAUUGACGAGGGCAAGUGAACCGAUUCAGACUGUUAAACACCUGCAAAAUAAUCAUAAGAGCGAUUCAGACUAACCUCGGCAUUUUGUGGCCCGGGCUGAACCGGAAUAAUCUGUUAUCUUGUGUCUUCCCUUUCUCGUUCGUCACCGGCGGCUGCCCUGUGCAUCCUCCCCGUACCCACGACUCAACGUUGGCAGCACAACGGCUUCCUCUUUCCCUUACGGUUUUGUUCCUCGCCAUUCGCCAUCCCCUCGCGAUUUCUCCUCGCCAUGCCGAGCGCAGGCGAACGGACGACGGCAGCUCUGUCUCCAACUCUGUGAUCUCCAGCCAGACCCUCCCUGAAGACGCUCUUCGUCUGCUCUCUUGGUUGCAUCCACUUCUGUUAGCACCGGCAUCGCAUUUCCCUGAGGUCGACUGGAGGGAGGGCGGCAGCACUUCAAGGACAUCUGUCCACCGCCCCCAUAAUGGAUAACAAUAAUGAGGUUGCACAUGAAAAGGAUUUGGUCUUUCAUCUUGAGGCAGCUGAAGAUAUCAAUUGAGAUGGUGAUAAUGGAUCGUCGAAUAAAAAUCCAUCAUCAAAGGUAACACAUAGGCAGCUGAAGAUAUCAGUUCACCUUGUUGUGUUUUUUUCUGAAUGAUACAUCGUUGAGCUUUCCAUAUUACUCACUGAACUUUAAUUUCAAGAAUCUCGUGGAUGGUAGUUUAUGAUGUUGCAUGAUGAUUGAAUUUUUGCCCCAGAAUUUACAUAAUAGCAAAAGUGAUUUGGAAAUGACAUAUUGUGUAUCAGACUAAUGCAUGGAACUUUGGAGUGAUUCAAGACUUGUACGAAAGUUUACACAGGCUUGUCUUCUGAAUUUGUUUCUUUACUGGAACAUAUUAUUGUAUAACAAAUUCGGUGAACAAACUUCUUUGGAUGCCAAUUACAGGCGGAUAUUGACAACUUGAGGAAGGAGAUGGCCGCUGACCUUAUUUUUGCUGAGGCAAACGAGGCUCGGGAUGUAAAAGAAGCCAUUCAAGCACUCAAGAGUCGGGAAGAGAUGAUGAUGCAGAUUCUCUAACUAUUUAGUUUAAUUAGUUUAGGUCUUAGUUCCUAUAAAAGGUUAGAGUAGUUAGAGGUUUAGUUACAAAUGCUUAGUUUACUACUACACAAAUCUAUACUGAGGCGGUUUUUUCAACCGCCUCAGAGAUAACGUCACAGUUAAUCGUAUAUUAUCUGAGGCA